AGCGAACGCUGGCGGCAGGCCUAACACAUGCAAGUCGAUCGAAGUCUUCGGACUUAGUGGCGGACGGGUGCGUUACACGUGGGAACGUGCCUUUAGGUUCGGAAUAACUCAGGGAAACUUGUACUAAUACCGAAUGUGCCCUUCGGGGGUAAGAUUUAUCGCCUUUAGAGCGGCCCGCGUCUGAUUAGCUAGUUGGUGAGGUAAAGGCUCACCAAGGCGACGAUCAGUAGCUGGUCUGAGAGAAUGAUCAGCCACAUUGGGACCGAGACAAGGCCCAAACUCCUACGGGAGGCAGCAGUGGGGAAUCUUGCGCAAUGGGCGAAAGCCUGACGCAGCCAUGCCGCGUGAAUGAUGAAGGUCUUAGGAGUGUAAAAUUCUUUCACCGGGGACGAUAAUGACGGUACCCGGAGAAGAAGCCCCGGCUAACUUCGUGCCAGCAGCCGCGGUAA
rnacentral:rRNA from 1 species